rnacentral:rRNA from 1 species
CCUGAGAAACCCAAAAGAUCGAAUGGGGAGAUUCAUCGUCAGCUCAUUUUGUAUAUGUAUAAGUUAUGAUGCGGGUUACUACUUGUAGUAUUGCCUGCACAUUCUUGUAUAUUUAGUUGCAAGAUGUUGUCGGCGUGCACUUCUUCCCUAGUAGGACGUCGCGACCUGUUGGGUGUCGGUCUACGGCCCAAGUGAUAGUCUUUAAUGUAAUUUAAAAAUCAUUGAAGAUCCUUGGUGUUUUCUGACCGGCUACUUGGCAGUAAUCGUACGGUAUUUAGCCGCUAAAUUUAUUAAGCGUCUAUAUCCAUCACAAGCGAGGCUAAUUUACUGAUAUUACGGACCUAGUGCCGUCGUUGGUAUUGGCCAGCUGUUGGUUGUAUGGUAUUCUAAGACUGGCUAAAAUUAAUUACCGGUCGGCGAUGCUACUGCUUUGGGUACUUUCAGG